CCUACGGGAGGCAGCAGUGGGGGAUAUUGCACAAUGGGGGGAACCCUGAUGUAGCGACGCCGCGUGGGUGAAGGAGCGUUUCGGCGCGUAAAGCCCUAUCGGCAGGGAAGAAGGAGGACGGUACCUAACUAAGAAGCCCCGGCUAACUACGUGCCAGCAGCCGCGGUACUACGGAGGGGGCAAGCGUUAUCCGGAUUUACUGGGGGUAAAGGGGGCGCCGACGGCAGCGCAAGCCAGGAGUGAAAGCCCGGGGCCCAACCCCGGGACUGCUCUUGGAACUGCCGGGCUGGAGUGCAGGAGGGGCAGGCGGAAUUACUGGUGUAGCGGUGAAAUGCGUAGAUAUCAGGAGGA
rnacentral:rRNA from 1 species